GGCGGGGCCUCCCAGCGGACGCUCAGCUGGUCCUCAAGCUGCCCAACGCGACUCACCGUCACCCCCGACGGGGGGUCCGUGGUCACUGCAGGAGGAAGAAGACCACCGCGUCCGUUUGCAGGCUUCUUUUGGCUGACCGUCCGCCAUUUCCAGCCCGGGGGGCACGGCCGACGCCCCAAAAGAAAGCGACGGGAGGAGUUCAAAAUCUGCAGAGAAACGUACUUCCGACGUAGAUGCAGGACCCGGC